AUAUAGCCCAAACUAUUGAAAAUCCCAUCAUAUUAUUAGAUUAACCAAAUAUCAAAUUACCAUAUUGAAAAUUGCGUCAUUACAGUUCAGCACACUUUGUUGUCUUUGGCCAAGCCUCCAACCAAAUGGUCCACCGAGACAAAAUUUUACUAUGGCACGACGCAUUGGAGCCAUUUUGAUAGAUCUGAGUGGGACAAUUCACGUUGACGAUAUUGUAUUACCAGGUGCCAUAGAGGCUCUGAAGAAACUGAGAGCAUCAGAUGUAAAAAUAAAGUUUGUAACUAACACAACAAAAGAGUCCAAACGAAUUCUCCACCAGCGUCUGACACGAAUUGGCUUUGAUAUAAACGAAGGUGAAAUAUUUACUUCGCUGACAGCUGCUCGUCACUUGGUCGACAGUCGUAAUCUGCAACCAUAUAUGCUUAUUGCAGAUGCAGCUAAAGAAGAAUUCAAUGAUAUCAAUUGUGAAAAUCCUAAUGCUGUACUUGUGGGGUUAGCUCCUGAAAAAUUUGAUUAUGACCAUUUGACCUCAGCAUUUAGAUUGUUGAUUGAUGGUGCCCCACUGAUUGCCAUACACAAAGCUCGCUAUUACAAGCGUUCAGAUGGUCUUGCUCUUGGGCCAGGGGCAUUUGUAUCUGCAUUAGAAUAUUCUUCAGGAUGCAAAGCAGAAGUUGUUGGAAAGCCAGAGUCAUCCUUCUUCCUUAGUGCUUUACAAGAUUUAGGUUGCCCAGCAUCUGAAGCAGUUAUGAUUGGAGAUGAUGCACGUGAUGAUGUUCAAGGUGCCAUCAAAGCUGGUCUUCAAGGAAUUCUUGUUAAAACUGGUAAAUACAGAGAAGGUGAUGAAUCUAGUAUAGACCCUAAACCUUCAUAUGUUGCUGAAAAUUUUGCUGAAGCUGUUAACUAUAUCAUUCAAAACUGGCUUGACAGUUAACAUGCAUGAAAACUAAUGUUAACAUGUCAAUAUCUGCAACAUGAAGACAGAAUUAAGGUCUCUUCCUGCGAGGUAGUCAGUCCCAACACCAUCAUUACCUCACUUCUUAUCCCAGUUUAUGUCAAGGGUGAGACAGUAAUUUGAGGAUAUUGUUUUAUUGCACUAUACCCGAUGUCCAUAUGAUGUUUGGUGAGCAGUCUCAUCCAGAUUAUUGUCAAUCCCUUUCCCAGAAUGGGGCACUGCCUAGUGUCCAUGCCUUGCACAGGUAGGCAUUACUGGAGAUGCAUUACAGCAUCCCUUCAGCCCCAGUGGCAUUGUUUUCUGCUCUUUACUUGUAAUCCAUUACUUAUGUUGUCUAUAACACUGUUUCUCAUCUCUCUUGCAUAUAGGGAAGAUCCUCCAGACCCCAUGAUGCUUUGUGUACAGAUUUGGACUAUGUGCUCAUCAAACUAUUUCAAUCCCUUCAUGGUAGUAUUUUAAAAAUAUUAUAAAAUAUUUGAAUUACCUCUCACUUUUAUGUUCUUUCAGAUUAGUUACUUACGUAACAUGCAUCUCGCUCUGCCUUUUCACAAUCUUUGUGUCUUUUGGCUGUGCCAUUAACAGUCCAUGGCCUGGUCAGUAACCUUGAGGAUUCUUUGAAAGCUGCCUUUUUCUAGAAGAGACACAAGUCUCAUUUAUAAGAUUGUGUCCUGAUUCUGAUGCAAAUUCAUUUGAUCAUCUUUCUGAAAUCGGGAUGAAUGUUUACAAUAAAUAUUGCUUUAUAUAUUAUAUAUAUAAUUUAUAAUCCUUAAAAUAAUGGUACUGUACACGCAUGAACAUAUAUACAACACUGAUAAAAAGAUUAGCUUUACAAUACUGCAACAUCUAUAGUAUUUGCAAUUUACUUUUAUCCUAAAAUGGCAGUACUGUAUUUUUGUUAAUGCAUCACAUUAUAUCUUUUCUACUGUGACUGUAGAAAAUAUUAAAGAAAAAUAGCACAA